rnacentral:rRNA from 1 species
CUACGUGCCAGCAGCCGCGGUAAUACGUAGGUCCCGAGCGUUGUCCGGAUUUAUUGGGCGUAAAGCGAGCGCAGGCGGUUAGAUAAGUCUGAAGUUAAAGGCUGUGGCUUAACCAUAGUACGCUUUGGAAACUGUUUAACUUGAGUGCAAGAGGGGAGAGUGGAAUUCCAUGUGUAGCGGUGAAAUGCGUAGAUAUAUGGAGGAACACCGGUGGCGAAAGCGGCUCUCUGGCUUGUAACUGACGCUGAGGCUCGAAAGCGUGGGUAGCAAACAGGAUUAGAUACCCUGGUAGUCCACGCUGUAAACGAUGAAUACUAGGUGCUGGGAGGCAUAAGCCUUUCGGUGCCGUCGCAAACGCAUUAAGUAUUCCACCUGGGGAGUACGUUCGCAAGAAUGAAACUCAAAGGAAUUGACGGGGACCCGCACAAGCGGUGGAGCAUGUGGUUUAAUUCGACGCAACGCGAAGAACCUUACCCGGUCUUGAGAUCC